GUUACUAGUGGAAGUGAUGAAGUGUUCCUCCAACUACUGGGCAUCCGGGAGAACAUGGAGCGUGUGAUGCAACCGGCCACUAUAC
rnacentral:ncRNA from 21 species